rnacentral:tRNA from 1 species
GGGUUUAUAGUUAAAGUUAUAAUAGGAGUUUUGUAAACUUCAGUUAAAUGAUAUUUUGGACCUA